GCCAUUUUCCUUCGAACACUCCUGACAGCUCCUGCAGUCCGGUCUCCAGCUCUCUGAAAAACAUUUCAAAUGAUCAUUAGUAAACAGAGUGCAUGCAUGUUUACAUCCAACUAAUGCCAAAGCCAGAGACUGGAGAUUGAAGGCUCUUGUCUGCGUGUGUUGUGUCACUCUGAGCCACUGAGAGGGUUCACAGGGGGAGAUGUGAGGAAAGGGGCAGAUGGUUCUCAUCUUCAUGUCCUUCAUUAGGGAAAUAAAGAGAGACACCGCUGUCUAAAAAGACAUUGGAAAAGGAACAUGAGUUACAAGAUGUCAACAAAUCGCAGUAAUGAGAGAAAUCUUCUAUUAUUAGCAGCACUUAACUGAUGCUCUACCGUCAAUACAAGCGUCUGACAAAACAGCGAGAGGACAGCCAAAAGUUGCCAAUGCAUCUCGACAAGGAACAGGUUCCGUAACAUCUGCCUGAAAGACUGCCUCUGAAAGAGAGCCGGCCUCCCUCCCUGCCUCAUGG